rnacentral:tRNA from 1 species
GGGGGUUAUAGUUUAAUCUCCUAGAAUAUU